CCAGCCCCGGUUCCCGGCCCCGGCCAGGCCUCCGGCCCGGGCCUCUUUCCUCCCAGCCCCGCUCGCGGCUUCGGCGCCUGCCUGGCCUGGCCUGGCCUCGCCGCCUUUUGCGCAUCUGCCGGGAGCCAGGCGCUUUCUCCUGCCCUGUCCCCGCCUCGCACCCAGAGCCCGCCGCUCCCAGCCCGGCCGCGAACCCGCAGGGGGUGGGGGUGUCCCCCAAGGAGCAGAAGGGGUGUGUGGGUGUGGGUGUGUGUGUGUGCGCGGGCGGGGGGGGUGUCGUGUCCCCCAAGGAGCAGAAGGGGUGUGUGUGGGGGGGGGGUGUCGUGUCCCCCAAGGAGCAGAAGGGGUGUGUGUGUGUGCGCGGGCGGGGGGGGUGUCGUGUCCCCCAAGGAGCAGAAGGGGUGGGCGG